rnacentral:siRNA from 1 species
ACAUCAGAGGCACACGUCAGUACC